GUGGAUUAGAUACCCGGGUAGUCCACGCCGUAAACGAUGGGCACUAGGUGUGGGAGGUGUCGACUCCUCCCGUGCCGUCGCUAACGCACUAAGUGCCCCGCCUGGGGAGUACGGCCGCAAGGCUAAAACUCAAAGGAAUUGACGGGGGCCCGCACAAGCAGCGGAGCAUGUGGUUUAAUUCGACGCAACGCGAAGAACCUUACCUGGGCUUGACAUGUUGGUGACCGCCGUGGAAACACGGUUUUCCUUCGGGACACCAUCACAGGUGGUGCACGGUCGUCGACAACU
rnacentral:rRNA from 1 species